GGCGGAUGUAGCCAAGGGGAUCAAGGCAGGGGAUUGUGAAU
rnacentral:tRNA from 1 species